rnacentral:rRNA from 1 species
GACGAACGCUGGCGGCGUGCUUAACACAUGCAAGUCGAACGGAAAGGCCCCUUUGGGGGUACUCGAGUGGCGAACGGGCGAGUAACACGUGAGUAACCUGCCCUUGACUUCGGGAUAACUUCAGGAAACUGGGGCUAAUACCGGAUAGGAAUCCUUGCUGCAUGGUGGGGGUUGGAAAGCUUCGGCGGUUUUGGAUGGACUCGCGGCUUAUCAGCUUGUUGGUGGGGUAGUGGCUUACCAAGGCUUUGCCGGGUAGCCGGCCUGAGAGGGCGACCGGCCACAUUGGGACUGAGAUACGGCCCAGACUCCUACGGGAGGCAGCAGUGGGGAAGAUUGCACAAGGGGCGGAAGCCUGAUGCAGCAACGCCGCGUGCGGGAUGACGGCCUUCGGGUUGUAAACCGCUUUCAGCAGGGGCGAAGCUUGUGGUGACGGUACCUGCAGAAGAAGCACCGGCUAACUACGUG